rnacentral:lncRNA from 1 species
AUAAGAAUUGCCCUAGCGUGAGUUUGCUUUCUGAGUUCUGUCUCAAUUUGGCCAACUCUAACACUGUAUGUUGAUCCUAUUCUUUUUUUUCCUAGUGAAAACUGAGAAUCGGCAACAAUUCCUCUGCCUCCUCCUCUCCCUGGGGGUUACCUGUUAGCUGACAAUGUUUACAGAUCCAGUUUCCUAUUUCCAAAAUACUGUCUCCUUUUAUUUUGCUAGUAUUUCUAAGCAACGCUUCCUCACGCUGCACCUCGGGAACUUGAGUUUUCUCUAGUUGUUUUUCCUGAAAUUCAAGGUCGAUAUAGAGCCCUGUCAAAGUCUGGUGCUGUGUCCCGGGCUCAGCCUCUUUCUAUGGGGCAGAGGAGCUGGGGUUAGACGGGCUCCAAGGCUACAAAAGGCAGAACAGCUGCAGAAACCACACUUCCCUGAGAUACCUGGUCCCCUGCUUCCUGUUUUGGCUGGACUGAGAUCUGAGGUGGAGGAUGUAUGACCAAGAAUACCCCCUCCUGGUGGAUGGGGGGAGAAGGAAGUACUUGCUUCCAUUGUCACAGUGUUGGGGACUCCUGAGAUCCCUGGGGAGUUGAAAGGAUCUCCAGAAGAGAUGGGUAGGAAAGCCCACUAGGACUCAUUCAGCAAAGGCUACCAGGUGGAGGAGCCAUGCUCUGGUGAGUGUCAUACUGGGGUGGGGAUGGGGCGCACUGGACUUGAGGUGAGGGUGGAGGCCGGUUUCUUAGCCUGGAUGUCUGCAGGGCUGCAGAUCGUGGUACCCCCAGAGUGAAGCAGAGCAUUGCUGGACGAGAGAGGGAACUAAUGGAACAGCACGUGUAAAUGCAACAGCUGGCAGAGGCCCAGAACACACACGUAGAAAGGCAAAGGUUAAAGUACUGAGAGAUGAAACAUAGAAACAGAUCAGGUAUGAGGAAGCUGCUGAAAUAAACAGAGGAUACGUGCAGGCCUCGGAAGCGCCCUCUGCAGUCAAUAUUCAUAUCCCAAGGAUGGGUAGAGACAGCCCACAAGGCUGCUGCAGAAGGAGGUGAGCAGACUUCCAAUUGGUCAGAGUAAAGAACGACCCUCCAGUGCACCUCUAGAAGUAGGUGAAUAGUAGGAGUAGGCGACUAGCAAUGGGAGUGUGCUGUGUGUGUGUGUUCGUGUGUCCUCAGGUCAGUGAAUAAUAAGAGGGGACACAGAAACACAUAUGCAUGCACACACAUACACACACAUGUGUGUGCACACAGACACACACAUGCAUGUGCACACAGAUACACACACAUGUACACACAUGUACACACACAUGCACAUAUGUAUGCACACACACAUACAUGCACUCAUACAUGCAUGUGCACACACACACACACACACACACAUACACUGGAAACAAG